GACGAACGCUGGCGGCGUGCUUAACACAUGCAAGUCGAACGGAAAGGCCCUGCUUUUGUGGGGUGCUCGAGUGGCGAACGGGUGAGUAACACGUGAGUAACCUGCCCUUGACUUUGGGAUAACUUCAGGAAACUGGGGCUAAUACCGGAUAGGAGCUCCUGCUGCAUGGUGGGGGUUGGAAAGUUUCGGCGGUUGGGGAUGGACUUGCGGCUUAUCAGCUGGUUGGUGGGGUAGUGGCUUACCAAGGCUUUGACGGGUAGCCGGCCUGAGAGGGUGACCGGCCACAUGGGGACUGAGAGACGGCCCAGACUCCUACGGGAGGCAGCAGGGGGGAAUAUUGCACAAUGGGCGGAAGCCUGAGGCAGCAACGCCGCGUGCGGGAUGACGGCCUUCGGGUUGUAAACCGCUGUCGCCUGUGACGAAGCGUGAGUGACGGUAAUGGGUAAAGAAGCACCGGCUAACUACGUG
rnacentral:rRNA from 1 species